UACCAUAAAUCCAAAUCGGUUUAACAAUCGAUACAUACAAGAGACGUUUGCUGGUUAAGUCUAGCUCGGAGUGUCGUCAAACUAGUCAGUACAGUUUGUGCAUUUUUUGUUUGAUUUACAACUUUUUCUGGCGUACAUGAUGUUUCCAGUUAAGUCGUGAGUCAAGGUGCAUUCCCAAAUAUUUCGCUGAAUCAUUUUACGGAAUUAUAUGCUGAUUAAGCGUGACUAGGAUGUGUG